UUCAAAUUCACGUGGUUCUCUAGGCCUGCAAGAAUCGCUGAACCCUGUACAAUGUUGUCAUGAAUACACAUGUCCCUAUACACCCAAUUCAAAACCCUAGAUCUGCUCUCCUUAUCCUCAUACGAAUUCAAAAUACAAAAUCAAAUCCCAUCUCUCCACAAAACCACUUCCUAUCCGCUUUACUCCAUGGAUUCCCACGAUGAACUACCGAAGGAGAUGACAGGAGAGAGAGCGUCCUUCGAUUGUGUUUCUUCGAUGGCGAAAGUGGUCGGUUUCUAGCAUUUACUUUGGUUCUGUGUUGGUGCUUCGGCUUACAGGGUUUCAAAGGAAACGACAUUCUGUAUAAAGAAUGUAUUAUCCUAGUUGUUAAUUCUUGCCAUCCUCAUCUUCAUCCUAUGCCUUCUGAAAGCAUCAUAUUGCCCAGUGGUAGCACAUUAUUCCUAGGUUUUUGGUGAGGGCUGUUUAGGCUCUUGGUUUCAAGCAUGAACCAGGUAAGGGUGAAGGGGGCACCCCUAAGACUACAUGGUAUGAUGAUGGACCAUCCUUAGAGGAUGGUCCGUCACGUAGGCGUCACGUCACAUUUCUCUCUAAGAUGGUCCAUCCUCUAAAACUAGAAGGCAUGAACUCUUUUGAUUCAAGAGAGUGGUGUCGUGAACGUGUAUGUGGAGUUUGAGGAGGCGAUUCCAAUCCCAGGCGUUCCAUGUGAUGUUGUGGAGGUCUCUGUCAGCUUCUAUUCCAAUCGGUGAGUCUCGAACACAUGCAGAUGAUUCUAUUUGUUUUAAACUCAGUUAGAUGCACUUGAUGGCCUGAGUCUGAUUCUCCAAGUAGCCAUAAUUAUAUUGCUCUUAUCUGUUGUAGCUUUUGCAAUUAGUCAUUAUGUACAAAAGUAGAUUGUGUGUAUUAUUAUUAUCUAUUGUAUAUGUGAAACCAUUUCUGAACAAUAAAAUAUUGAAAUCUGAUAGAUCUUAUGUGCUCACCGGUGUUUAGCACUUGGGUGUGGGUUAGGGAAAGGCCACCCACAUCUAUGAUACGACACAAAUGAACCCCUGCAAACAUCAAGAUUUUGAGAAUUGCAUGAUAUGGUGUAAACCAUGAUGAAAGAUAACAGGUUCAAGUUGCAUUUGAUCAGUCAAUUAGCAACACGUCUUAGCUAGAAAAGUUGCCAAUAGUUUGAUCAGGUUGCUAAGUUUAGUACAAAUUAUUUAAUGUAUGCCAUUGGGAAUUUAGUUAUAUCUUAAAUCAUAAUAUAUAUAUAGGAUUAGGUUCAAACGUGAACAUUUUCUCCAGCGUGAACUUAUCUGGGCCCUUGAUUUUGUAGAUGAUAGAUCUUAGAUCAAUGGCAGAAUUGUAAUUAAAGGUUUAGUAAAUUUAAUUUAAAUUUUAAUCAAAAGGGUAAAAUAGGGAACUUUCAUAUUAAAGAUAUGGAAACUAAUUAAAUUGUAAUCCCCUAAAAUCCCUAUAUCAGUUUCAAUAUAUUCUAACAAACACACACAUACACCGCACACACACAUAUCCCCCAGACGACGGCAGCAGAGCCGGUGACGGCACGGCGGCCGGCCACCGUGGAUGGUGGUCCGGCGAGAGCUUACACUGGACGGUGGUCCGGCGACGGCACAACGUGGGACGUAGAUGGUAAGUCUUUGAAUCAUUUUCUUUUCCUUUUUUUUCUUUUAGAUCUUUCUAGAUCCAAGCUUACACUGACGAUCACCGGUUGCGCCGAUCUUCCUCCGCCGCUAGCGGCGGUGACAGUUUAGGGCCGAUCGUCUGCAACAAAAAGUCAUACUCGUUCCUCUUGACCAAAAGCUUGACAUGCUAUGGAGUUUCAUUAAAGCGCAUUUGAAUUCAAUAAUUCUUGUUUUUCUUUCUGCCUGCAAGCAGGUGAGGUUUGUACACGAAGCGUUCAAGAAACUGCAGCCCGGGAUCCCGUUAAAGUGCCUGCAUGGAAGGAUGAAACAAGUGAAAAGAAUGUUUAUAUUGCAACAGUUUGUUGAACAAAGAUCAGUUCUUUUUUCAACUGAUGUGUCUUCAAGGGGCCUGGAUUUCAACAAGGGGGUCGAUUGGGUUGUUCAGGAGACGUCGUAAACGAGGAAAGUGGAGAUGGAAGGUCGAUAAGGAUGAUUCACGUAUGAGG